rnacentral:rRNA from 1 species
CCUACGGGUGGCAGCAGUGAGGAAUAUUGGUCAAUGGACGAGAGCCUGAACCAGCCAAGUCGCGUGAAGGAUGACUGCCCUAUGGGUUGUAAACUUCUUUUAUAUGGGAAUAAAAUGUUCCACGUGUGGGAUUUUGUAUGUACCAUAUGAAUAAGGAUCGGCUAACUCCGUGCCAGCAGCCGCGGUAAUACGGAGGAUCCGAGCGUUAUCCGGAUUUAUUGGGUUUAAAGGGAGCGUAGGUGGAUUGUUAAGUCAGUUGUGAAAGUUUGCGGCUCAACCGUAAAAUUGCAGUUGAAACUGGCAGUCUUGAGUACAGUAGAGGUGGGCGGAAUGCGUGGUGUAGCGGUGAAAUGCUUAGAUAUCACGAAGAACUCCGAUUGCGAAGGCAGCUCACUGGACUGCAACUGACGCUGGGGCUCGAAAGUGUGGGUAUCAAACAGGAUUAGAUACCCUUGUAGUC